rnacentral:rRNA from 1 species
UACAGAGGUCCCGAGCGUUGUUCGGAUUCACUGGGCGUAAAGGGUGCGUAGGUGGCAUGGUAAGUUUGAUGUGAAAGCUCAGGGCUUAACCCUGAAAUGGCAUUGAAUACUACUGUGCUGGAGGUUUGGAGGGGGACUGGAAUUCUUGGUGUAGCAGUGAAAUGCGUAGAUAUCAAGAGGAACACCAGUGGCGAAGGCGAGUCCCUGGACAACACCUGACACUGAGGCACGAAAGCUAGGGGAGCAAACAGG